AUAUACUUUCCACCUUCAACUCCCAAAGCUGACAUUCCUUACUUAAACUAUUCCCUGCACUCGACCAGUUGCUUAAAUUUUGACUUCUAUGUCACUAUCAACUUUUAUUCAAUGAUCCAUUCUCCUAUGUAAAUCGUGCAUUUAAUGCUUUUCCCCGUUAAGACAUUACUAAUCCAUGUACAUAGGACAUUAUAUGUUUAAUCAACAUUAAUAAUACUCCCACCAUGCAUAUAAGCACGUUCAUAAUACUAACAUAGUACAUAAUACAGUACCUUAUAACUUCACAUUAAAUGCUUGCCAAUACGACUGUGGUCACUCAAAUAAUCCCUGUUCAAAGUACAUAGUACAUUAAUAUCACUGGCGGUACAUACCACAUUAAGUCAUAAACCUUUCUCGCUCCAAAUGACUAUCCCCUACCAACUUUGGUCUCAUAAUCUACCAUCCUCCAUGAAACCAUCUACUCACCCACGUCGUGUCCCUCUUCUUGCUCUGAUCCCAUUUAACUUGGGGGUAGCUAAUUAUGUACUUUAUCUGGCAUCUGGUUCCUACCUCAGGGCCAUAAAUCGCAUAAUUGCCCACUCGUUCCCCUUAAAUAAGACAUCACGAUGGAUUAGUUCCAUUCUAGCCCGUGACCCAACAUAACUGCACUGUCAUGCCUUUAGUGGUUUUAUUUUUUGGGGGAUGCAGGGACUCACCAUUGGCCGUCAGAGGCCUCGUUCCAUUCAAUUCAAUUGUAGCUGGACUUAUUAGUCAAUAUUCUCACUUUACAUAACUACUAUCUGCCAUAGUCGGGCUUAAUGCUCAAUAGACAAAAAAAAAAGUUAAAACAGAAAUUCCAUAGUAGAUCCAAAUGCAAAAAUAAACGUUUAACCAAUUAUCUUUUUCUCAGAACCUAUUUAAAUCUUCUUACCUGCUUUAAAUUUUAUUAACUUCUUUCUCAGUAGAUUAAACUUAUAAAUAAAUUUUGAUUAAAUCUCCUUAUAUAACUAUACUAUAUUAUACUUACACUAAUAAUACUUACAUAUAACUCUGUUUACCAAAUCUUAUAUAAGCAUAUCUCCCCAAAAUUCAUAUGUUAAUGUAGCUUAAUUUAAUAAAGCAAAGCACUGAAAAUGCUUAGAUGGGUAUUUAUACCCCAUAAACACAUAGGUUUGGUCCUGGCCUUUUCAUUAGCUUCCAGCUAACUUAUACAUGCAAGCAUCCCCGUCCCAGUGAGAAUGCCC
rnacentral:lncRNA from 1 species